GAUGAACGCUGGCGGCGUGCCUAACACAUGCAAGUCGAACGGAGUAUUUCGGAUGAAGUUUUCGGAUGGAUUUUGAGAUACUUAGUGGCGGACGGGUGAGUAACGCGUGGGCAACCUGCCCCAUACCGGGGGAUAACAGCCGGAAACGGCUGCUAAAACCGCAUACGAUGCAGAAGUCGCAUGACUUUUGCAUGAAAUAUUCAUAGGUAUGGGAUGGGCCCGCGUCUGAUUAGCUAGUUGGUGAGGUAACGGCUCACCAAGGCGACGAUCAGUAGCCGGCUUGAGAGAGUGACCGGCCACAUUGGGACUGAGACACGGCCCAAACUCCUACGGGAGGCAGCAGUGGGGAAUAUUGCACAAUGGGGGAAACCCUGAUGCAGCGACGCCGCGUGAGUGAAGAAGUAUUUCGGUAUGUAAAGCUCUAUCAGCAGGGAAGAAGAAAGACGGUACCUGGACUAAGAAGCCCCGGCUAACUACGUGCCAGCAGCCGAC
rnacentral:rRNA from 1 species